rnacentral:rRNA from 1 species
CGAGAGUAGUACUAGGAUGGGUGACCUUCUGGGAAGUCCUCGUGUUGCACCCG